GAUGAAGAACGUAGCGAAAUGCGAUACUUGGUGUGAAUUGCAGAAUCCCGUGAACCAUCGAGUCUUUGAACGCAAGUUGCGCCCGAAGCCAUUAGGCCGAGGGCACGCCUGCCUGGGCGUCACACGUCGUUGCCCCCCCAUCUACUCCUUCGGGAUUGCGGGGGGCGGAUGAUGGCCUCCCGUGCGCCUCGUCGCGCGGUUGGCAUAAAUACCAAGUCCUCGGCGACGCACGCCACGACAAUCGGUGGUUGCGAAACCUCGGUUGCCCGUCGUGUGCGUUCGUCGCGCAUCGAGGGCUCGAAAAAAUGCUCGGCUCCGGCUCGGCUUUCAACGCGACCCCAGGUCAGGCGGGGUUACCCGCUGAAUUUAAGCAUAUCAAUAAGCGGAGGA
rnacentral:misc_RNA from 1 species